rnacentral:tRNA from 1 species
GCUUUUGUAGCGCAAUGGAUAGCGCAUUGGACUACUAAUCCAAAGGUGGUUUCGAAUCCCACCUGGGAUG